rnacentral:lncRNA from 1 species
AUGGAAAAAGAGAAAGUAAAUGAUGAUGGAAAACUAGACCCAGAGAAUUCCUUGGACUUUUCUGAACACUUCAGCUAACUCCAAUUGUUGGAAAUACGUGGAUACCUUAUUCCCACUAGUACUCAGAGUCUCUGAGAUGGCAGUUUUGAUGAGGAAGAGGAGCAAGAUGAAAAAAAAACAAGAGUGAUAUGCAAGAAAAAAACAGAGAAAGAUCCAAGCAAAUAUUUUUUUUGGGCUGCUGAAAAUAAUUGGCUUAUCCAGUGUGGAGACUGCUUUGUGAAAAGACCACUCGUGUGAACACUAGGGAUGAAGAUGAGUGUAUCACCCCCUUCAUCGAGCAGCCUAAGGUGGACACUUAGACAUUGUCUGUGAGCUGAUUGCACAAGGGGCAGAAGUUUUUGCAGUGACCGUAGAUAGCUGGACACCCCUGCAGGGUGCUUAUAAGUGGAAUAAUACCAGAGUGGCUUCUUUAUUUCUUCAGCAUGGUGUAGAUUAGUUAUCAGUGACCAAACAAAAGGUCUCUUGACCCACUUGCAUCUUGCUGCUGGGAUCAGAGACAGCAGAGCUACUCUAGAACAUCUACUGGUGAACUGUUAACCUCAAACCAGAUCUGAAAAAACAACUGGGAAGAAACUGUAUUUGAUAUUGCCAGGAGGACAAGUAUCUGUCACGACCUCUUUGAAAUUGUGGAAGGCACUGUACAAAUUCUUCACC